AGAGUUUGAUUAUGGCUCAGGAUGAACGCUGGCGGCGUGCUUAACACAUGCAAGUCGAACGGAGUUUUUAAACGGAAGUUUUCGGAUGGAAGUUUAGAAACUUAGUGGCGGACGGGUGAGUAACGCGUGGGUAACCUGCCUCAUACAGGGGGAUAACAGUUAGAAAUGACUGCUAACACCGCAUAAUAUAGCGAAACCGCAUGAUUUUUGCUAUCAAAUAUUUAUAGGUAUGAGAUGGGCCCGCGUCUGAUUAGCUAGUUGGUGGGGUAAAAGUCUACCAAGGCGACGAUCAGUAGCCGGCUUGAGAGAGUGACCGGCCACAUGGGACUGAGACACGGCCCAAACUCCUACGGGAGGCAGCAGUGGGGAAUAUUGGACAAUGGGGGAAACCCUGAUCCAGCCGACGCCGCGUGAGUGAAGAAGUAUUUCGGUAUGUAAAGCUCUAUCAGCAGGGAAGAUAAUGACAGUACCUGACUAAGAAGCCCCGGCUAACUACGUGCCAGCCGCCGC
rnacentral:rRNA from 1 species